GAAGUUUUCUGUUUGGGAUACAACAUAGGGUCUGCUGCAGUUGGAUAUCAUCUCACAGUUAAAAGAAACAGGAAUUUUCUCCAGACACGAGAUAGUUGAAGAGACAAUGCUACUCACACAUCCCACUGAGGUGGUGUCUUUCAUCCGUCUACAACGAAAACAUUAAUAAGACUCACAACGCUCCUAUGAGCUGGAUGGCUCAUUGUUAACACAUCAACAGCUUCCUUCUGUCCUGUCCUUAACUAGAU
rnacentral:lncRNA from 1 species